AGUGAACGCUGGCGGUAGGCCUAACACAUGCAAGUCGAACGGCAGCACAGUAAGAGCUUGCUCUUACGGGUGGCGAGUGGCGGACGGGUGAGGAAUACAUCGGAAUCUACUUUUUCGUGGGGGAUAACGUAGGGAAACUUACGCUAAUACCGCAUACGACCUACGGGUGAAAGCAGGGGAUCUUCGGACCUUGCGCGAUUGAAUGAGACGAUGUCGGAUUAGCUAGUUGGCGGGGUAAAGGCCCACCAAGGCGACGAUCCGUAGCUGGUCUGAGAGGAUGAUCAGCCACACUGGAACUGAGACACGGUCCAGACUCCUACGGGAGGCAGCAGUGGGGAAUAUUGGACAAUGGGCGCAAGCCUGAUCCAGCCAUACCGCGUGGGUGAAGAAGGCCUUCGGGUUGUAAAGCCCUCUUGUUGGGAAAGAAAAGCAGCAGGUUAAUACCCCGCUGUUCUGACGGUACCCAAAGAAUAAGCACCGGCUAACUUCGUG
rnacentral:rRNA from 1 species